rnacentral:rRNA from 1 species
UACGGAGGAGGCAAGCGUUAUCCGGAAUUAUUGGGCGUAAAGAGUCCGUAGGGGGCCAUUCAAGUCUGCUGUUAACGCGUGGAGCUUAACUCCAUACCGGCAGUGGAAACUGAAUAGCUAGAGUUCGGUAGGGGUAGCGGGAAUUCCCAGUGUAGCGGUGAAAUGCGUAGAGAUUGGGAAGAACAUCGGUGGCGAAAGCGCGCUACUGGACCGAAACUGACGCUGAGGGACGAAAGCUAUGGGAGCGAAAGGG